CUCUGCGUAUUAUGAAGAAAAUUCGACGAUUUUUCAAGAUCUUAAGAAAACACCAUAAAACGAUGCGUUAUCUGAAUAGGUAUCGAGAUUGGGAGGUCGAUGUGGCGCCGAGUUCUUUCUUCGCACGCACGAGUAAGUGUUGCAACGUAAUACGUUUCUCAUAGGGGUUUCGAGAUACCUCGAUAGAUUUGGAAUUCGUUUGCCAGGACGAGUGCAUGUAAGCAUCGACUACCGAGAAGUUUCGCAAUCAUUUCUGGCGAAUCGAAAAACUCUCACGACGAUUUCCUAUUCAACAUUUUUUCCAUGCGAGUAACGAACGAACGAACGAACGAACGAACGUACUAACGUAUAGAUGUAUAUGUACGUAGGUACAUACGUAGAAACGAUCGUACCGUUAGAGGUCGGAGAUCGUUUCUGGCAUGACCUACCCUUGCUUGCUUGCCCCCGUUGCUAUUGUCAUUUCUCAUUCAUUUGCAAGUAGCCAUAUCGCGAUUUACGAUCCCUCUGUUGGUGACUUUUGCACGUUGUUCGAUUCCGUAAGAGGAGAAAGAGGAGAAGAAAGAGAAGGAAAAGAAGGAAGAGAAGGAGGAGGAGGAGAGGAAACACUUUGGCAUGCGAAAGAGGUUUCGAAGAAGCGUGCUUUGGAAACCCUAUAAAUCUUUGUCAUAUGUCAUAUACGUCUAUAAACCAAAACGAAAAUAUAUAUAUAUAUAUAUAGACACUAUCUAUAAAUUUAUUAUCAUCAUAUUUCUAAUAGAAAACGUCGACGUUGCUCGGACUUCGGUACUCGAACAUUGCGGUGUUUAAAUUUGACGUUUAAUAGAUUUCAACUCGUUAAAAAUAAAAAAGAAAGGUUACUUUAAAAUUAUCGAAUAAGAAUUUUAACGUUUUAAUACUUUCAUGUCGAUGCUAUUUCAUCAUACGCUUGAUGCUUAGAUAUUUACAUAUUUCGAGAUUUGAGUUUAAAGGAUACCAAAA
rnacentral:lncRNA from 1 species